rnacentral:rRNA from 1 species
AUUGAACGCUGGCGGCAGGCCUAACACAUGCAAGUCGAGCGGCAGCGGAAAGUAGCUUGCUACUUUGCCGGCGAGCGGCGGACGGGUGAGUAAUGUCUGGGAAACUGCCUGAUGGAGGGGGAUAACUACUGGAAACGGUAGCUAAUACCGCAUAACGUCGCAAGACCAAAGAGGGGGACCUUCGGGCCUCUUGCCAUCAGAUGUGCCCAGAUGGGAUUAGCUAGUAGGUGGGGUAACGGCUCACCUAGGCGACGAUCCCUAGCUGGUCUGAGAGGAUGACCAGCCACACUGGAACUGAGACACGGUCCAGACUCCUACGGGAGGCAGCAGUGGGGAAUAUUGCACAAUGGGCGCAAGCCUGAUGCAGCCAUGCCGCGUGUAUGAAGAAGGCCUUCGGGUUGUAAAGUACUUUCAGCGGGGAGGAAGGUGCUGAGGUUAAUAACCUCAGCAAUUGACGUUACCCGCAGAAGAAGCACCGGCUAACUCCGUGCCAGCCGCCGCGGUAAUAC